AACUCUGAUGGCCUAGUGGUUAGAGCGUUCGCUUCAGAUGCGGGAGGUCGCGGCUCAAACCCCAGCCGAGUCA